AGCAGCCGCGGUAAUACGUAGGUGGCAAGCGUUAUCCGGAUUUAUUGGGCGUAAAGGGAACGCAGGCGGUCUUUUAAGUCUGAUGUGAAAGCCCACGGCUUAACCGCGGAGGGUCAUUGGAAACUGGUUGACUUGAGUGCAGAAGAGGGAAGUGGAAUUCCAUGUGUAGCGGUGAAAUGCGUAGAUAUAUGGAAGAACACCAGUGGCGAAAGCGGCUCUCUGGUCUGUAACUGACGCUGAGGUUCGAAAGCGUGGGUAGCAAACAGA
rnacentral:rRNA from 1 species